rnacentral:rRNA from 1 species
AGAGGUCUACGGGGGGCAGCAGUAGGGAAUCUUCCACAAUGGGCGAAAGCCUGAUGGAGCAACGCCGCGUGGGUGAAGAAGGUCUUCGGAUCGUAAAACCCUGUUGUUAGAGAAGAAAGUGCGUGAGAGUAACUGUUCACGUUUCGACGGUAUCUAACCAGAAAGCCACGGCUAACUACGUGCCAGCAGCCGCGGUAAUACGUAGGUGGCAAGCGUUAUCCGGAUUUAUUGGGCGUAAAGGGAACGCAGGCGGUCUUUUAAGUAUGAUGGGGAAGCCUUCGGCUUAAACGGAGUAGUGCAUUGGG